GAUGAACGCUGGCGGCGUGCCUAAUACAUGCAAGUCGAGCGAACGGACGAGAAGCUUGCUUCUCUGAUGUUAGCGGCGGACGGGUGAGUAACACGUGGAUAACCUACCUAUAAGACUGGGAUAACUUCGGGAAACCGUAGCUAAUACCGGAUAAUAUUUUGAACCGCAUGGUUCAAAAGUGAAAGACGGUCUUGCUGUCACUUAUAGAUGGAUCCGCGCUGCAUUAGCUAGUUGGUAAGGUAACGGCUUACCAAGGCAACGAUGCAUAGCCGACCUGAGAGGGUAGUCGGCCACACUGGAACUGAGACACGGUCCAGACUCCUACGGGAGGCAGCAGUAGGGAAUCUUCCGCAAUGGGCGAAAGCCUGACGGAGCAACGCCGCGUGAGUGAUGAAGGUCUUCGGAUCGUAAAACUCUGUUAUUAGGGAAGAACAUAUGUGUAAGUAACUGUGCACAUCUUGACGGUACCUAAUCAGAAAGCCACGGCUAACUACGUG
rnacentral:rRNA from 1 species